rnacentral:rRNA from 1 species
AUUGAACGCUGGCGGCAGGCCUAACACAUGCAAGUCGAACGAGUCGCGCACGGGUGUGUAACGUCUGGGAAACUGCCUUAUGGGGGGGGAUAACUACUGGAAACGGUAGCUAUAACCGCAUAGCAUCCGAUUUGCCCAGAUGGGAUUAGCUAGUUGGUGGGGUAACGGCUCACCAAGGCCACGAUCCCUAGCUGGUCUGAGAGGAUGACCAGCCACACUGGAACUGAGACACGGUCCAGACUCCUACGGGAGGCAGCAGUGGGGAAUAUUGCACAAUGGGCGCAAGCCUGAUGCAGCCAUGCCGCGUGUAUGAAGAAGGCCUUCGGGUUGUAAAGUACUGUCAGCGGGGAGGCGUUACCCGCAGAAGAAGCACCGGCUAACUCCGUGCCAGCAGCCGCGGUAAUAC